rnacentral:rRNA from 1 species
AGUUAAGUGACUAAGCGUACAAGGUGGAUGCCUUGGCAAUCAGAGGCGAAGAAGGACGUGCUAAUCUGCGAAAAGCUUGGAUGAGU